ensembl:lncRNA
CAGAAACCACCCUAGACCACAGAAACCACCCUAGACCACAGAAACCAACCUAGACCACAGAAACCACCCUAGACCACAGAAACCACCCUAGACCACAGAAACCACCCUAGAUAGAGGAUCUCAGACCACAGAAACCACCCUAGAUAGAGGAUCUCAGACCACAUGAGAUUCUGUGAAAGGGACUGAAGAGGAUUUCAAAGCUUCCUUGUGACAGCAGGGUGACAGCAGGGUGACAGCAAGGUGACAGCAGGGUGACAACAAGGUGACAGCAGGGUGACAACAGGGUGACAGCAAGGUGACAGCAGGGUGACAGCAGGGUGACAGCAGGGUGACAGCAAGGUGACAGCAGGGUGACAACAAGGUGACAACAAGGUGACAGCAGGGUGACAACAAGGUGACAGCAGGGUGACAACAGGGUGACAGCAGGGUGACAGCAGAGUGACAGCAGGGUGACAGCAGGGUGACAACAAGGUGAAAGCAGGGUGACAGCAGGGUGACAACAAGGUGACAGCAGGGUGACAGCA